rnacentral:lncRNA from 1 species
GGUAUAUCAUCAUCAAAGGACUAUGUAAGUUUUCCGGGGCUUAUCUCAAUUCCAAUAUCAAGGUCGGAUUGUUGGACCGACUUUGGCUCAAUACUUGGCAUCUUCCUCCUUGUAUACACGUGAUCUGAGUCUAUUAUGAUCGCUUGAGAGGAUGACUUUUGGAGGUUUUCUUGUGUUUGUGAGUUUUUUGAUGAGUUCCGAAUGUUCUCUUAUGGAAAAGGUGAUAGCUUAAAAUUCAUUAGAAAUUUUGUAUCCUUAUCUUUUAAUAUAAACUUCUCCAAAGAUACGAUCAGGUGAAAUAGGAUUCCUAUUUAACAAAUAUGACGUCCGCAUACACAAAAUUUUUGAGUGCACGGAUGGUAAUGCUUGCAUCAGUUUUAAGAGGAAUACCUCACAAAAGCACAUUUCAUGACCCAAGGAUCAAGUUUUCCUCUUUGCUGGAAAUGAAUACGAACAAAUAGAACACUAGAUAUUUGAGGGAACAGAUGGUUUGAGACAUUUAAUACUGGAUAAAAUUGUGGAAGUGUUUCAAGGGGAUUCUUAAAGUCAAAAACACUUGUGGUAGGCUAUUAAUAAUAUAGGUAGCAAUAUGGACAACUUCACUCAAAUAUUAUUUUGGGACGUUGUUUUUGGAAAGAAAAACCCUGAUGGUGAUUAA